CGGUACGAGGGGGAACCCCUGCUCCGCAAUGCCGCGUGAGUGAUGAAGGCCUUCGGGUUGUAAAGCUCUUUUGUCAGGGACGAUGAUGACGGUACCUGACGAAUAAGCUCCGGCUAACUUCGUGCCAGCAGCCGCGGUAAUACGAGGGGAGCUAGCGUUGUUCGGAAUUACUGGGCGUAAAGGGCGCGUAGGCGGUUCUAUAAGUCAGAUGUGAAAGCCCCGGGCUUAACCUGGGAGGUGCAUUUGAAACUGUAGGGCUUGAGAUCGAGAGAGGAAAGUGGAAUUACGAGUGUAGAGGUGAAAUUCGUAGAUAUUCGUAAGAACACGGGGUGGGGAAGGCGACUUUCUGGCUCGAUACUGACGCUAAGGCGCGAAA
rnacentral:rRNA from 1 species